rnacentral:rRNA from 1 species
UACGUAGGGUGCAAGCGUUGUCCGGAAUUAUUGGGCGUAAAGAGCUUGUAGGCGGUCUGUCGCGUCUGCUGUGAAAAUCCGGGGCUCAACCCCGGACUUGCAGUGGGUACGGGCAGACUAGAGUGUGGUAGGGGAGACUGGAAUUCCUGGUGUAGCGGUGAAAUGCGCAGAUAUCAGGAGGAACACCGAUGGCGAAGGCAGGUCUCUGGGCCGCUACUGACGCUGAGAAGCGAAAGCAUGGGGAGCGAACAGG